rnacentral:rRNA from 1 species
GUGGGGAAUAUUCCGCAAUGGACGAAAGUCUGACGGAGCAACGCCGCGUGAGUGAUGAAGGUUUUCGGACUGUAAAGCUCUGUUGUUUAGGACAAAAGUGCCUGUUGCAAAUAGUUACAGGUAUUGACGGUACUGAACGAGGAAGCCACGGCUAACUACGUGCCAGCAGCCGCGGUAAUACGUAGGUGGCAAGCGUUGUCCGGAAUUAUUGGGCGUAAAGAGCAUGUAGGCGGGAAUCUAAGUCUGUUGUGAAAAUGCGGGGCUCAACCCCGUAUUGCGAUGGAAACUGGGUUUCUUGAGUGCAGGAGAGGAAAGGGGAAUUCCCAGUGUAGCGGUGAAAUGCGUAGAUAUUGGGAGGAACACCAGUGGCGAAGGCGCCUUUCUGGACUGUGUCUGACGCUGAGAUGCGAAAGCCAGGGUAGCGAACGGGAUUAGAUACCCUGGUAGUCC